ensembl:lncRNA
GUGUUGAGUGGUGGGUUUGGGCACCGGGCACGGAUGGCACCGACAGCCGCUAGAGUGUAGUGGGGAUGGCGGUCUUACAGUAAGCUUUGGUGGGUUUAGGACGGCGUUAAGAGGAGGGGGAAGGAAUCUUCUCAUACUUCACUGGCUACGAUAUGAGGGACGACCAGGGAGACUUGCCUCAAUUUGCAUAACCUCGGCUGUUUUACACACAAGGAGGGUGUCCAGUAUGAGGACUGUCAUGAGGGACUGUCAAUGAAUCACCAUGGAAACCUGUGAUUGACAGACAGGCGCUAGCCCCAUCUGGCUGGCUGGCAGGCCCUCAUUACGAUGAGCAGGAGGAGAUUUGCUGUACGGCGACAGGACCGUACGAAAAAUGUCAACGAUCGCCAGAGCCCCAGACUUCCUCCCAUCCCCCAAUGAAGUCUUACCACUCAUCCUUCACCUCUCCAGUGAUGUCUUACCACUCAUCCUUCUCCUCUCCAGUGAUGUCUUACCACUCAUCCUUCUCCUCUCCAGUGAAGUCUUACCACUCAUCCUUCUCCACUACAGCUCAUGGCCAAGACACAGCGUACAUUUUGUAGUCAUACAAAUCUUCUACUUUGAGUGAUACCACAAAAGAAACAAAACAUUUUUAAAAAACACUUUCAAAUUGCGUUCAGUCACCUCCCCUUGAAGCCAGAGGAGAACAUCUCCGUUUCAUUAGAGAGGGAAUUCAAAUAGAGGAUCAUUGUCGAGUACCUGGAGGAAAGGUGGGGGAAACUGUUAUGUGAGGUCACAAACAAACUAUAAUAUGUCAUUUCAAUAGUUUUUCAUUCAUUUGAAAUCUGUUCCUUAAGCUUGUGUUUUUUAAUGAAUGUAAUUUAUCUGGGAGAUGCUUGAUGCAGUGGUUAUAUCUGUGCUAGGGAAAUACUUUGCGGAUGUAAGCAUUUCAUCCAAUGUCGAGAUUUUGAUUAUAUCAACAAUGGCUUAAUCAAACAAUCAUCUUUAUGGAUUUGUAUUAAAGAUUUUAUAUCAACGUAUUAAGUUGAAAUCAAAAUCAUUUUUGUUGAUGAAGUCUUGCCUCUGUCCAUUUUGAGGAUUGACUGUAAAUCUUUCCCUUGAAAUAUAAAUAAAAUGCAAAAUAAAGUGAAGUCA